AUACUUACCUGGCAGAGGAGAUACCGUGAUCACGAAGGUGGUUUCCCAGGCAAGGCUUGUCCAUUGCACUCCGGGUGUGCUGACCCCUGCGAUUUCCCCAAAUUUGGGAAACUCAACGGCAUAAUUUGUGACAGUGGGGGAUUGCGUUCAUGCUCUCCCCUG
rnacentral:snRNA from 1 species